AUGACGAUGCUGCAGCUCCUCUCUCUGCUAAUGGGGCUACUGGUCCCUGACCUCUCAAGUGUAGGAUCGGCCUAUGUGGAGCAGCUGCCUUUCCUCACAGGGGUUGCAGGAGAAUCCCAAACUCUGCAGUGUACAUUAAAAGAAACGAGCCACUACUGGAUGUACUGGUACUGGCAGAAGGAGGCAGAGGAGCUGGGGCAGCUCUUCUAUUCUUCAGGAGAUGGAUCUGGGACCAACUUCACAGCUGAGCCCAUGUCAGCCUGGAGGAAGAACAACAAUUGGCAUCUACAAUGGAAAGACCUUUCAUGGUCGGACUCAGCUGUGUAUUACUGCGCCUGCAGCACUGCACAGUGA